UGGGGAAUCUUGCGCAAUGGGCGAAAGCCUGACGCAGCAACGCCGCGUGGAGGAAGACGGCUUUCGGGUUGUAAACUCCUUUCAGGAGGGACGAAGCUUCCGGGGUUAAUAGCCUACGGGGUGACGGUACCUCCAGAAGAAGCCCCGGCUAACUACGUGCCAGCAGCCGCGGUAAUACGUAGGGGGCAAGCGUUGUCCGGGAUUAUUGGGCGUAAAGCGCGUGUAGGCGGCUUGGUAAGUCUGGUGUGAAAUCUUGGGGCUCAACCCCAAGCCUGCACUGGAUACUGCCUGGCGAGAGUGCGGGAGGGGAGAGCGGAAUUCCCAGUGUAGCGGUGAAAUGCGCAGAUAUUGGGAAGAACACCGGUGGCGAAGGCGGCUCUCUGGAACGGUACUGACGCUGAGACGCGAAAGCGUGGGGAGCGAACA
rnacentral:rRNA from 1 species